AAUUCUCUGUAAGAACCAAAAAAAGUUGGAAACUCAUAGUCACAGAUUUCCUUUAAACCGAUUUUUUCUUGAAGAGGGUGCAAAAUUAAGAAAAUCCCGUUUUUCAUUUUUUUCAAUAUAUGUCCCGGUUACCAUGGAAACGAGGAUGCAAAUCCCCAACUUGCUGAAUUUUCAAAAAAGUAGGGGUGCAUGCCUAUUUUGUUAUCUGGAAAGUACUAGAAAGUGUCCUUUAUUUUCAUACUUGCAAAUUUUAAAGGCAAAUGAACAAGGUUUCAUACCAAACUAAUAUUUCCAAAUAUUUAUUUGAUUCUUGUAUGAUCUAGACUUUUAUCUGCAAGAAAAAAUAUAUUUAUGGAGCAAAACAUAUGUUUAUAUUGUGUUCUACAUCUUGAAAAGUGCACAGGUCUCAGCAGAAAAGUAUAUUUGUUUGUAUAAAGGGAAGAUGAUAUUUCAAAAAGAAACAUAAAUCGUAGUGGGUCAUUCAGACACAUUCUUGUAGAUUUGGGCCAAAGUUUACGAUUUGGGGCAUUUUUCCUAUUUUUAUUACCUCCCCUUGAUGCUCUUCAUUUAGGAAAUCACAAAGAGCUAAUCUAAAGUUACUUCCUGGAUUAUGCUGAAUUCAGAUUUCUACUCGGAUUUUGCAAAUUUUUAGUAUAUAGAUAAAAUGACAGUCAGAGAUUUUAUGCUAAAUGGGCAUGUGAUGCUUGGAUGUGUCCCUUCAAACCAAGUCCACGUUUAAAAUUUGCUGAAUAGCGACAUUGUUUGGGAAAAAUACUCUGGCAGAAAAGAGUCUAAACUGUGGACUGACAUCUGUCUGUUUAUUUCCAUAAGUGAAGUUUGUAUCAACUGACUGAAGGAUCAGUGUUAAAGGAUAACCCUACAAUGAAAACAGCUGUGAGUUGUUUCUUUUGAAAAUGACUGCUUGAUGAUAAAGUUUCAAACAACUAUGAAGUGAGUGUAUGUUCUAGAGAGACUAAUUCUUCAAAGAAUGAAUGAUCAUCAUCAUGCUUAUAUUGGAAUAAAAGGAAGGAAGUGACAGCUACAGUCAGGGUAAAGGUAAAUGCAGUCAGAAGACCUCUGAUAUCACCUGAAGAGUCAGCCUUCUCAAGAUUCUGUAUCAAAUAAAAAUAACAAGGACUGCUAAAAAUACUUUUUAUAACUUGCAAUUGUGCAGUCUGUGACAUAACUGUCUGAUCCAGGUAGUUUAGUGUUGACAAGAUGACAUUUCAUCUCUAUAGUAGAGGACACAAGUUUGAAAUGCAGUAUACAUGUCAUUGUGAAGGCAAAAUGUUUAUGAAAAUAGUGUGUGUGUGUUUCCCAAAUAGAGAGGCUGAAAGUGGGGAAUCAUCAAUUAGUGUUUUUGGAAUAAGUUAUGGACAUCUGAAUAGUAAAGAUCUGUCCCUUUUUUGGAUUGCCACAGACCAAAAUAAUGAUUGGUGCCUUUGACAUAAAUAGAAGAACUCACACUGGACACCCUGAAGAUGGAAUUACAAGAAUGUAUGUUGUUUGCAUUAAUGUUUCUUUUUCAGAUUUAUGGGGAAAAAAAUUAGAAUGUCAUUUCUUAAAAAUGUUGAUAGUUGUUUAACCAAAGGCCCUGUAAUUGAAAAAUAUCUUUAUUCUUGACUUUAUAUUAAAAUUAAAAAAAUCUGAUACUGUUUAAUUACUUUUGCAUGUAUAACAUUAAAUUUGUUAUAUUUAAAUUUGAUAAAAUUUAAUGUAUUUUGAAAAAGAUGCACUUGAACAUAUCUAAAUGGAAUAAACACAUGACAGUCUUUGAAUAUCUGUAAAAAAAGCACAUGUUUUGCAGUUCUCAUCAGAUUUGGUUACCAAUUUACAGCAUAAUUAUACAUGAAGGCUUAUUACUCAAACAUAUGCAGAUCUAACUGUAUAUUUUCAACCAUAGAUAAUUUUAUUUCAUAUAGAUUUUUUAAAUCUUUAAAAAAUACUGAGAAAAUAUAGCAAAACAAUGGUUUAAUUAGUAUACUUGAUUUUGUGAGACUGUUGAAAUAUUACAUUUCUUUUUCCCUCUUAAGUCUGUAUCAUAAAAUCAUAUUUUCUGAUGAAAUUUAUUUUUUAAGAAUGUUGCAAUGCAGAUUUUAAUGAAAAUUCAUACAUUUGUAAAGUUACCUAUAUUGUGUUAGGUAAUAACUUAAGCCCAUAUUUACUAAUUGGCCAAUGAUUAAAAAGAACAUCUGAGUUUUUAGCUGACUUUCUGACUAAUUUAAGACCUCAUUCAUGUAACAACAUCUAUUAAUCUUCAGAAAUCCAGUAAAAUUGUCAUCUGUAAAACAGGUUUCAUUCUAAGAUAUACAAGGCAUAUAACAUCCUAUUUUACCAGCAUGUAUUUACUUUAAUAAAUAAAGUAGAUUAAGAUUUGUAUUUUGAUAAAUUUUGGAAAAAGUAUUAGGAGAUAUGUCUGCAACUGCAGUUUGUAUUAACUGGCACUGGAAUGUGCAUAAUCAGGUUUUUUUCUGAAUAAACUUAGUAAAGUCUUAAAUCUACAUUAUCUAUAGCUAUCCGUAAAAAGUCUAGCCAUUGUCUUGAUAGUUUGAAAGAAUUAAAUACAUUUGAGCCGCACCAUGAGAAAACCAACAUAGUGGCUUUGCGACCAGCAUAGAUCCAGAGCAGCCCGCGUAGUCUGGUCAGGAUCCAUCCUGUUCGCUUUCAAAGCAUAUUGCAAUUAGAGAAACCUGAUGCACAGGCUGGUAUGGAUCCAUUCUGGUCGCAAACGCACUAUGUUGGUUUUUCUCAUGGCGCGGCUCAUUUAAAGUUGUAUCUAGCAAAAUAUUGACUAAACUGUUGUGUAGAUAAUUUGAUUUAAUUUGAUUGUUAAAGGAAGAAUGUGCAUCAUGAUUGUUAUUACAUGAACAUACUGUAUUAUUUUUAAAUAUCAUGAUAUUUUUCAGUCUUGGAUUACACUGUUAUUUGUUCAUAAUUUUGAAUUGUAUUUAAAAUGUAUAUAUUAAAUCAAAUGGCGAAGUAGA